rnacentral:rRNA from 1 species
UACGUAGGGUGCGAGCGUUGUCCGGAAUUAUUGGGCGUAAAGAGCUCGUAGGCGGCCUGUCGCGUCGGAUGUGAAAGCCCGGGGCUUAACCCCGGGUCUGCAUUCGAUACGGGCAGGCUAGAGUUCGGUAGGGGAGAUCGGAAUUCCUGGUGUAGCGGUGAAAUGCGCAGAUAUCAGGAGGAACACCAACGGCGAAGGCAGCUCUCUGGGACGUUACUGACGCUGAGACGCGAAAGCGUGGGGAGCAAACAGG